AUUCCAGCUCCAAUAGCGUAUAUUAAAGUUGUUGCAGUUAAAAAGCUCGUAGUUGAACUUCUGGCGGAUGUUUUCGCUGGCUUCGGUCGCGUUAAUGUCUGUCAUCCGCUAGGGAACCUCGUUCGGUCUUCAUUGGUCGGCGGGAGGAUCUGGCAUUUUACUUUGAAAAAAUUAGAGUGUUCAAGGCAGGCAAUCGCCAUGAAUACACAAGCAUGGAAUAAUGGAAUAGGACUUAUGGUCAUUUUAUUGGUUAUUGACUGUAAGUAAUGAUUAAUAGGGACAGUUGGGGGCAUUAGUAUUUAAUUGUCAGAGGUGAAAUUCUUGGAUUUAUUAAAGACUAACUUAUGCGAAAGCAUUUGCCAAGGAUGUUUUCAUUA
rnacentral:rRNA from 1 species